UGUGGCAGCAUGUAUGAGGCCUGCACAGGACCAAACCAUAUAAAAUAAAAAAUAAAUCUUAAACAAAAGAAUUACAAGUCUGGGCUCUGCCAGGGACAUAUAAAUCAGUCAGCCAAUCAAUAGUAGUCAUUGGCUGAAUCUCUGGCUCAAUAGUCGAGUGAUUCCCUUGAAGGCAUGAAGUCAUGAGGUUCGAUCUCCAACACCACAAAGAGGCCGCCAUUGCCCUCUCACUGUCCUAACAGGCAUUGCUGCAAAGCACCUGAGAACCCAGAGUCGUCUAUCACCCUCACGGCCGACGCUGCUUUUGACUGAACAGAAGCACAGGUUCCAACUUGGGCACUUGGUGCGGAUUCACCGCUUACCCAGCAGAACCCUGGAACUUUCCUGGAAAGGGCUGUACCCAGUGAUCUUGACAACACCCAUGGUCAUCAAGGUAGCAGGGACUGAGGUUUGGAGCCAUCACUCCUACUUUAAGGUGAACAUGACUAGCCAAACGAAGCCGACAAGCAGAGAGUUAAGGGGAGAUCACUAGGUCCCCCUUAAGGUGCGGUUCAUGAGCAUCUCGGAAUCAGACUGACACUAAUGCUGGGGAUCGUGACAAAUAUCUUCUAUGCUUGACCUACUGAAAAUGUUAAGGUUUGGGACUGGGAGUUGUCAUGAGAACCAUGCAAAAUAAACCCAUGGUCAGACUGAAGAAAAAUAAUAUAUGUUCUACAAAAUGCUGCCUCCCAGCCUGUGUUUAGAGUUGAUCUCUGUGACCUGUUUGCGGACUAUCUGUCCAGUCUGAUAAAAAGCAUCAGGACUACUCACUCCUAAGAUGCUGUAUGUUGAAGGCAACAUCAUGGUCAUUCCAGGAUGUGAUAAAAAUAUAAUAUAUGAAACCCUUUUCCAUAUAUGUCCAGCUGAUGGGCCAACACACUGCCAUCAGCAAAAAGGAGAUUAUCAUUGUACUGAUCCAAACUGUGAGGCUGAGUUUGCCCGAGAAAGGGUAUUAGGCACUUAGACCUGUAAUCCUUUUUGAGUGAGAAAUCCCUCCCUGAGGGUUCACCCAUAGGAAGUAAAGCUCCUCUGGUGGGAAAGCCAUGACCUGGAAAGAACUGAGCACCCAGCCCUGGCUUAAGAGUCCAUCCGGGGAUUUCUAGCUUGACAUCAAGAGUUUCAGUUUUCAGUGGGCUGUGAUGUUCUCUCUAUGGGAAAGGGUUAGGGUUAACACCCCCCAAGUCAGCCCUAUAGGCCCAGGUAAAAGCUAGAUGCCUUAACCAAAGACUAGGGGGUGUCCUCUUCCCAUCUUCCUGUCCCCUUGAACCACUCCACCCAUGGAAAUAAACCAGCCUUCGGUCUCAACCAGGAGGGGUAUAUGGUAAUAGACUCAACCUAAGCCAGGAUACACAAAUACACAAAACAACUUCAUCUCCCAAAGGUAACCCCGAGCUUGAGACCGUAAGGUUACUACACAGCUUGAUUAAAUCAAACCCUCUCUAACCUGGGAAAUGCAUAUUGGCCUUGCCUUGACUCCAGGUCUCCUUUUUAUGUGGGGACAGGGGUCAAUCUCUCUAUUGUCUAGACUACUACCCGAUCUGAGAAUUUAAACUGCGAUCCAGAGGAAGUAAGUGCUCUCUAGGAGACCUCCAAGGAGCCUCCAAAUUGUUUAAUCUCUUCAAUUUAUAGCGACUCAGCUUCCCUUUAUGGUCAAUCCUGUAGUUAGUAUUCACGUGUACACCAAUGAAGUCUGAAUAUAUGAGAAUGCACUUUCUGGCUCCUUUCGGGACAUGGUGGGCCUGCACAUUUGGCCUCGCUAGAUGUGUAACAGAGGAACAUCCAGAAUUCGGGACAUGGGAAGGGAAUCUCUGUAUUCUAUCUAACCUAUAUCCUUCCCAAGGAAGGUGUGUUGACUAGAGAGGAGAGUAGAAAACAAUUGCUUGCGGAUGAAGGAUACUCCCGCCAUGAGGGCCAGGGUCUAGUUAGAAGAAAAAGAAUAGUAACUCGGCUACAGUUAUACCCCUCCUAGUGACAGAAGGGAUCACAUACAUAGGUGCCUUGGGAAACGGCAGCUUUAAUUCCUCAAGAUCAGACUUUCAAAGCUCUGAAUAAUAGAGUAGACCAGGGCGUACAACAUCUCGAUGAUGCUGUAGGACAACUUGAAAAACAAGUAGAUUCCCUAGCAGAAAUGGUUUUUAGAAAACUGUCGGGGAUGAGAUUCAUGCUGUCAGAUGUGAAAAGUGCUGAUUUGAUGUCAACAAUUAGGGAGUUAUCUCAGAAACAUUAAACAUGAUCCAGAAAAACCUAGAUGCAAGAGCAGAACAUGAUGAGGCCUCUAAUCGGUAUUCAUCCAUUUUCUCUUCCCAUGGCUUACCACCCUUGACCGCCUUAGCUGAACCUUUUACCGCUCCUUGGAGUUAUGAUCAACCUUUGAACUUUAAAUCGGUUGCUAACAUACAUUAAAUAACCAACUCUAUUAAAAAAAUUGAUUCAGCAAGGGUCAAUGGUUUGAUUCCAUAAUCUAAAGCCAGUGGGGAAUAUGGUGGCUAAGAAAAUUUCAUUUUGUACCAGGAACCUACUUUUGUAGCUCUUGGCCUCUGACCUAAAUUCCUAAAAGCUCUGACCCCUUGUCCCCUCCCAUAAGCUGUGUAACUGUUGUGCAAUGAUUAACAGCUUGUUCUGGCUUCUGUAAACACACUUAUCACUGUGGGCAUGGGGAAUGGCAGUUUCUCAUGUAGCUGUGGGGGAGGGUAGGGCAACAGUUCUUCAUGUCGGGGGCGGGGUGGGGGGGAGGGGCAAUCUUUACGCAGUUGUAGAUUCUGCAGAAAUGGAGUAAUUGUGGCCUGGCCUUUAAAAUUCGUUCCCCCAUCUGCUCAGGUGCAGCCCAUUUCUGAUUUGCUUAGAGAUAGCUGCCCUGCCAGCAGAAACAAUAAAUUUGGCUAAUUAUAGUCUAAAUUGAGUCUUUAGUCUUUCCUGGUGGUCUUGAAUUCCACUACGGUAACUCCAUUAACAAAAAUCUUUUUUUAAGGACGGUGAAUGACAAACUAAUGCAUCUUACACUACUUGUCAGGAUAUUGUGUUUUUGCAUUUACUAUAUAAUUUCCCUUGGUAGAUUAUUUCCUUCUUUUUUUAUACUAAAAAAUUAAGGGCCAGGAAAAUUAGUUAAUUUAGUUGAUUUCCCCCAAAUCAUACAAUUCAGAAAAGAUGUUUGGUUUGGAGUUCAAAGUCUUUCUUGUCUUUAUUUUUUAGUCUCCAGAGAGGACUCUAUCAGAUUCCUUGUCUUAAAAUCGGGAAUUCUCAUCCCUGUCUUUGAUUUCCAGUGCUAUCAAAACCCAUUUUUAGACAUGUCUUUUCUGCAUUGCUGAGUGUGACUGUGUCUCAUAGGGAUAUACACCCUAUGAGGGACAUCGCUGGGGAUGACUCUGAUGUCAGGGUCUCCAUGGAGCUGGAUCCUAGGAACAAGGAGUCUAGGGGAAAAGAGUGUGAUCCGGGGAGCUGGGACA